UACGUAGGGCGCAAGCGUUGUCCGGAAUUAUUGGGCGUAAAGAGCUCGUAGGCGGCUUGUCGCGUCGACUGUGAAAUCCCGCGGCUCAACCGCGGGUCUGCAGUCGAUACGGGCAGGCUAGAGUUCGGUAGGGGGAGACUGGAAUUCCUGGUGUAGCGGUGAAAUGCGCAGAUAUCAGGAGGAACACCGAUGGCGAAGGCAGGUCUCUGGGCCGAUACUGACGCUGAGGAGCGAAAAGCGUGGGGAGCGAACAGG
rnacentral:rRNA from 1 species